rnacentral:rRNA from 1 species
GACGAACGCUGGCGGCGCGCUUAACACAUGCAAGUCGAACGGAAAGGCCUGCUUUCCCUUGUGGAUUGCGGGUACUCGAGUGGCGAACGGGUGAGUAACACGUGAGUGAUCUGCCCCCAACUUGGGUAUAAGCCUGGGAAACUGGGUCUAAUUCCCGAUAGGACUGCAGGGUGGUGCCUGUGGUGGAAAACGAUUUUCUAGUGGUUGGGGAUGAGCUCGCGGCCUAUCAGCUUGUUGGUGGGGUAAUGGCCUACCAAGGCGGCGACGGGUAGCCGGCCUGAGAGCGUGGACGGCCACAUUGGGACUGAGAUACGGCCCAGACUCCUACGGGAGGCAGCAGUGGGGAAUCUUGCACACUGGGCGGAAGCCUGAUGCAGCGACGCCGCGUGGGGGAUGACGGCCUUCGGGUUGUAAACUCCUUUCGACCGCGAGGAAGCCACCUGGUUGGAAGGGUGGUGACGGUAGUGGUAGAAGAAGCACCGGCUAACUACGUG